ACAAUAAUCUAUAAUUCAUUUUAUUAUUGAUUUAAUUAUCUCCCCUAUAUCUGUAUCACAUGCCAUUACGUAGUUCAUGUAAUUUUCUAUUGACUUUUAAAAUAAAUUACAUUUAUUUAUUGGGCAACUAUGAGUCUAUGUAUUAAUGGUAAUAAUAAACAGUUGCAUAUGUAUUAUUCCUUAUUUCUCAAUCAAAAGAAGUCCCAAUACAUUUUUAGCUUUACCAAAUUUUAUCUUUUAUUUUUUGUACACUCCUGUUCUGAUCCCAAAUACUUUUUUUAAAAAUACCAAGAUCAAUUAUAGGUUUCUGCUAUACUUUUAUCAUUCAAUUUAAACAUCUAACUUCAUAUCACUUGUAAAAAAACAAUUUCAUCAUGUUCAUAGAAAUAGCUUAUUUAAGAUGUAUAAUAUUGUUAUUGUACAGCAACAGAAAUUAAAGAAAUGGGACUGCAUCAUGAAUAGUAUUUUGAAUACAUUUUGAAAAAGAAUUAUUUUUUAAGGCGAAAAAGUUGUAUGAAAGUGAAGUAAAUUAUUUUUACAAUAUAUUGUGCAAUAAAUUGUAAAUAAAAUGUGAUACCAUAGUAACCAUACCA